rnacentral:rRNA from 1 species
CCUACGGGUGGCAGCAGUGAGGAAUAUUGGUCAAUGGGCGCGAGCCUGAACCAGCCAAGUCGCGUGAGGGAAGACGGUCCUAUGGAUUGUAAACCUCUUUUGUCGGGGAGCAAACGACGCCACGCGUGGCGUUCCGAGAGUACCCGAAGAAAAAGCAUCGGCUAACUCCGUGCCAGCAGCCGCGGUAAUCCGGAGGAUGCGAGCGUUCUCCGGAUUCAUUGGGUUUAAAGGGUGCGUAGGUUGUUUUAUAAGUUAGCGGUGAAAUACCGAUGCUCAACAUCGGGGCUGCCGCUAAUACUGUAGGACUAGAGAUCGGAUGCAGCAGGCGGAAUGUGUAGUGUAGCGGUGAAAUGCAUAGAUAUUACACAGAACACCGAUUGCGAAGGCAGCUUGCUAGGCCGGAUCUGACACUGAUGCACGAAAGCGUGGGGAUCGAACAGGAUUAGAUACCCUGGUAGUC